rnacentral:rRNA from 1 species
CUCGUAGGUGGCCAACUAAGUCAGACGUGAAAUCCCUCAGCUUAACUGGGGAACUGCGUCUGAUACUGGAUGGCUUGAGUUUGGGAGAGGGAUGCGGAAUUCCAGGUGUAGCGGUGAAAUGCGUAGAUAUCUGGAGGAACACCGGUGGCGAAGGCGGCAUCCUGGACCAACACUGACACUGAGGAGCGAAAAGCCAGGGGAGCAACG